AGAGAUUUUGAAACACAUAAUCAAGACAACAUUCAAGGAAAUCCUACACUGAGACCUAUGUGGAGACCUUUCAAUUCAUUAAAAGCUAAACUACUACCAAAUUAUUUUUAAAAUAAUGUAUUUUACUUUAAGCAGGUAUCUAAAAAAAAAUCCCUUCAAAUUAUGGAAGCUUUACACUUGAUUCACUUUUUCCUAAAGAAACCCUAACCAAACAUCUGCAAACACAAAUAUACUCAGCCUUUCUCUACUUUGUUUCUAGAAAUAGUUGCAUUUUAUGUUACAGAUAUCUACGAUACAUAGCUGAAAAAAAAAAGACUUUUUCUGCAAUUUCAUGACGUACAACAAUAACCAUGUCAAAUUAACAAACUUUGUAACAGUGAUUACAGUGGGGCUAUUUUUUGUCCUGUAACUGGUCAGUUAAGUCCAUUUACUUUCCAGAAGUUAUAAAAAGGCUAAGAAAUACAUUUAUUUUUUCAACACAUCAUAGUAAAUUCAUCUGAGCUGGAAAAGGUUGAAUGGGCAAGGACUACCAUAUGACCCAGUCAAGCUUUGUAAUUUAGCUGAACAAGUGAGUAUCCAGCAACAUAGGCCUUGACUGCCAACUUAAACUUUUGAGAUAAUAAACAUCUGUAACUCAGCCCUGUUGGUUGACCAAGUUGCAUACAAUAUAAGGUAAUUCAUUCCACCCUAGAUUAUAUGCUAACAAAAAUGUUUCAGGUUGUUUAAUUUUGCAUGACCACUGUUAUUUUUGGCCAUCACCUAGUAUCACUUUCCCAGGUCUUACAAGAGAGCACCAUAUAGUGGGGGCAGAGGAAGAAAAAAAAACAAUCACCUUUUGCUUUGGAAUUUUGUUUCCUGAACAAGGACAUAGUGUAUACUGCUCUAGAAAUACAGAUUCAAAACAUACUCAAAAAUUCAGACUUUUAGAAAUGGCAGAUUUCUCUGUCCAACUCUAACACAAUGCCAUCAUCUUUACAGCAGUUUGCAAACUGCUUUAAGCCAUGCCAAAAAAAACCCUGUCUUGGUGUAUUGACAGACAAUACACUCUUGCUUAGACAAUAUACCAUCUCAUCAUUGGACCAAGACUGGGAGGAUGCCUGGUGGACAUGCAAAAAAAAAGUUCUUUCUGCAAUCCUUGGGCAGCA